UUAAGUCAUGCGAGUCAAAUGUUCUUCGUGAACAUGGCGUACUGCUCAGUAACACGUGGAUAACCUGCCGUUAGGACUGGCAUAACCCCGGGAAACUGGGGAUAAUUCCGGAUAGUUCAUGGUAGCUGGAAUGCUCCAUGAUCGAAAGCUAUUGCGCCUAAGGAUGGGUCUGCGGUCUAUCAGGUAGUAGUGGGUGUAAUGUACCUACUAGCCGACGACGGAUACGGGUUGUGGGAGCAAGAGCCCGGAGAUGGAUUCUGAGACAUGAAUCCAGGCCCUACGGGGCGCAGCAGGCGCGAAAACUUUACAAUGCGGGAAACCGCGAUAAGGGGACACCGAGUGCCAGCAUCUUAUGUUGGCUGUCCGCAUGUAUAAAUCACAUGUGUUAGCAAGGGCCGGGCAAGACCGGUGCCAGCCGCCGCGGUAACACCGGCGGCCCGAGUGGUGGCCACUAUUAUUGGGUCUAAAGGGUCCGUAGCCGGUUUGGUCAGUCUUCCGGGAAAUCUGACGGCUUAACCGUUAGGCUUUCGGGGGAUACUACCAGGCUUGGGACCGGGAGAGGUAAGAGGUACUACGGGGGUAGGAGUGAAAUCUUGUAAUCCUCGUGGGACCACCAGUGGCGAAGGCGUCUUACCAGAACGGGUCCGACGGUGAGGGACGAAAGCUGGGGGCACGAACCGGAUUAGAUACCCGGGUAGUCCCAGCCGUAAACUAUGCUCGCUAGGUGUCAGGGACGGUGCGACCGUUUCUGGUGCCGCAGGGAAGCCGUGAAGCGAGCCACCUGGGAAGUACGGUCGCAAGGCUGAAACUUAAAGGGAUUGGCGGGGGAGCACUACAACGGGUGGAGCCUGCGGUUUAAUUGGACUCAACGCCGGAAAACUCACCGGGGGCGACAGCAAUAUGUAGG
rnacentral:rRNA from 1 species